rnacentral:rRNA from 1 species
AAGGCCCUUCGGUGUGCUCGAGCGCUGAACGGGUGAGUAACACGUGAGCAACCUGCCCCAGGCUUUGGGAUAACCCCGGGAAACCGGGGCUAAUACCGAAUAUGACCUCCGAUCGCAUGGUUGGUGGUGGAAAGUUUUUCGGCUUGGGAUGGGCUCGCGGCCUAUCAGCUUGUUGGUGGGGUGAUGGCCUACCAAGGCGACGACGGGUAGCCGGCCUGAGAGGGCGACCGGCCACACUGGGACUGAGACACGGCCCAGACUCCUACGGGAGGCAGCAGUGGGGAAUAUUGCACAAUGGGCGGAAGCCUGAUGCAGCGACGCCGCGUGAGGGAUGACGGCCUUCGGGUUGUAAACCUCUUUCAGCAGGGACGAAGCGUAAGUGACGGUACCUGCAGAAGAAGCGCCGGCCAACUACGUGCCAGCAGCCGCGGUAAGACGUAGGGCGCGAGCGUUGUCCGGAUUUAUUGGGCGUAAAGAGCUCGUAGGCGGCUUGUCGCGUCGACUGUGAAAACCCGCAGCUCAACUGCGGGCCUGCAGUCGAUACGGGCAGGCUAGAGUUCGGUAGGGGAGACUGGAAUUCCUGGUGUAGCGGUGAAAUGCGCAGAUAUCAGGAGGAACACCGGUGGCGAAGGCGGGUCUCUGGGCCGAUACUGACGCUGAGGAGCGAAAGCGUGGGGAGCGAACAGGAUUAGAUACCCUGGUAGUCCACGCUGUAAACGUUGGGCGCUAGGUGUGGGGGGCCUCUCCGGUUCCCUGUGCCGCAGCUAACGCAUUAAGCGCCCCGCCUGGGGAGUACGGC